GGUUCAGAAAAUCGUCACUGGCGGUGUUGGCCACGAGCGGGAAUGGAACUCGGCUGGUCGGGUGCAGAGCGCAGCGCUCACCACGUCACUGCCGCUCCCCUUGUCAACGAACUUGAACUCUGACCCCGCUCUCUGACGUCAACGCUCAGCGUGACCUCAUCGGCGUCAAACGCGAGGGGGAGAUGUGCCUCGCAAGUGACGUCAUGUCACCCACCCUGACCACCGCGCUCUUGAGCGUGACGUCACCUCCGCUCGGCCGCUGCCGAUAUCUUCCAGUGCCAAUCCUUAUUUGGGCAAAGCCACGCCCGGUGACUGGCGGAUCAUUAACAUAAUUUAUUUGUCAAAGCCUUCGCGAGUUUCGAGCCGCUCAUCGUGGGAGGGGAGUGUUGUCGUACCCCGCAAGUGACGUCAUGUCACCUGCUGCCGCGUGACGUCGCGAGGUAACAGGAAGUUGCCACUCCGCCUUGGCACUUAAAUCCGAGGCCAAGCCCGCGUUGAGCUGCUAUACCGCUCUUGUUUUCAGAAGCGACCUGCCCACAACAACAACAACAACGAGCUGACGCUUCCUCUGUAGCUUCCUCUGGAGAAUGUCUGAUGGAGCAAAGGCACUCGGCACAGCUCCGUACCACAAGGCAUCAAUGCGACCGGUGUGCAUUCAGCACGGAUCGUCCUGCACAUUUGGCACGGCACCAGAGAAUUCACACAGGAGAGAAACCCUUCAAGUGCAGUGUGUGUGGGAAGGAAUUUGCAUGGUCAUCUGCUUUUAAAAAACACCAGAGAACACACACAGGAGAGAAACCCUUCAAGUGCAGUAUGUGUGGGAA